CGUGAGUAACCUGCCCUUGACUCUGGGAUAAGCCUGGGAAACUGGGUCUAAUACCGGAUACGACCAUCUGGCGCAUGUCAUGGUGGUGGAAAGCUUUUGUGGUUUUGGAUGGACUCGCGGCCUAUCAGCUUGUUGGUGGGGUAAUGGCCUACCAAGGCGACGACGGGUAGCCGGCCUGAGAGGGUGACCGGCCACACUGGGACUGAGACACGGCCCAGACUCCUACGGGAGGCAGCAGUGGGGAAUAUUGCACAAUGGGCGCAAGCCUGAUGCAGCGACGCCGCGUGAGGGAUGACGGCCUUCGGGUUGUAAACCUCUUUCAGUAGGGAAGAAGCGAAAGUGACGGUACCUGCAGAAGAAGCGCCGGCUAACUACGUGCCAGCAGCCGCGGUAAUACGUAGGGCGCAAGCGUUAUCCGGAAUUAUUGGGCGUAAAGAGCUCGUAGGCGGUUUGUCGCGUCUGCUGUGAAAGACCGGGGCUCAACUCCGGUUCUGCAGUGGGUACGGGCAGACUAGAGUGCAGUAGGGGAGACUGGAAUUCCUGGUGUAGCGGUGAAAUGCGCAGAUAUCAGGAGGAACACCGAUGGCGAAGGCAGGUCUCUGGGCUGUAACUGACGCUGAGGAGCGAAAGCAUGGGGAGCGAACAGGAUUAGAUACCCUGGUAGUCCAUGCCGUAAACGUUGGGCACUAGGUGUGGGGGACAUUCCACGUUUUCCGCGCCGUAGCUAACGCAUUAAGUGCCCCGCCCUGGGGGAGUACGGCCGCAAGGCUAAAACUCAAAGGGAAUUUGACGGGGCCCGC
rnacentral:rRNA from 1 species